CAGCAGCCGCGGGAAUACGAAGGGUGCAAGCGUUAAUCGGAAUUACUGGGCGUAAAGCGUGCGUAGGCGGUGAGUUAAGUCUGUCGUGAAAGCCCUGGGCUCAACCUGGGAAUUGCGAUGGAUACUGGGCGACUAGAGUGCGGUAGAGGAUAGUGGAAUUUCCGGUGUAGCAGUGAAAUGCGUAGAGAUCGGAAGGAACAUCUGUGGCGAAGGCGGCCAUCUGGGACAACACUGACGCUGAGGCACGAAAGCGUGGGGAGCAAACAGGAUUAGAUACCCCCGUAGUCCCUGUCUCUUAUAC
rnacentral:rRNA from 1 species